rnacentral:rRNA from 1 species
GACGAACCGUGCGAACGUUAUUCGGAAUCACUGGGCUUAAAGCGCGUGUAGGCGGGUCGGCACGUCGGGAGCUGAAAUCCCCCGGCUCAACCGGGGAAGGGGCGCCGAUACGACCGGCCUGGAGGGACGUAGGGGGGGCUGGAACUUCCGGUGGAGCGGUGAAAUGCGUUGAGAUCGGAAGGAACACCCAGGGGGAAACCAGUCGACUGGGCAGCAGCUGACGCUGAGGUGCGAGAGCGUGGGGAGCGAACCGG